UGGGGAAUAUUGCACAAUGGGCGCAAGCCUGAUGCAGCCAUUCCGCGUGUAUGAAGAAGGCCUUCGGGUUGUAAAGUACUUUCAGCGGGGAGGAAGGUGUUGAGGUUAAUAACCUCAGCAAUUGACGUUACCCGCAGAAGAAGCACCGGCUAACUCCGUGCCAGCAGCCGCGGUAAUACGGAGGGUGCAAGCGUUAAUCGGAAUUACUGGGCGUAAAGCGCACGCAGGCGGUCUGUCAAGUCGGAUGUGAAAUCCCCGGGCUCAACCUGGGAACUGCAUUCGAAACUGGCAGGCUAGAGUCUUGUAGAGGGGGGUAGAAUUCCAGGUGUAGCGGUGAAAUGCGUAGAGAUCUGGAGGAAUACCGGUGGCGAAGGCGGCCCCCUGGACAAAGACUGACGCUCAGGUGCGAAAGCGUGGGGAGCAAACA
rnacentral:rRNA from 1 species